ACGUUGAUAUACGCGAUGACGCAGUAAGAGAAGAGGAGCAGGGGAAACGAAGUUGCGGCACCAUUUUUAAAGAUCAUCAGUGCCUGAUAUUUAUAACUUUGUUUUCCUACAAAUUUGAUAAUUUAAUUUAUUUUAUAGCCGAAUUUUUGUUAAAGACAAAUAUUUUUUUAAGUGAUUUUAUUGAAAAAAAGGACAUUCAAUAAAUUAAGAUGCAUUAGAUAAAUAAAGAAGAGUUGCCAAAAAGAAAAAAAGAUGAAGAUAAUUUUGCAAAUUAAACACCUGAAAUUAAAAGAUAGCUUAGUUGAAGGAUUCCUAUUCCUACUAAUUUAUCUUUUUCCUUAAUUUGUGUUAUUAGGUUUUCCUUACACAGAACAGGAGUUGACUUAAACUCUACCUCCACAACCACGGCCUUUUUCUACACAUCCAUUGGCAACUCGUCUUCCUCCAUUUCCACGGAACCAACACCGGCAACUUGGUCUCCACCAUCAGCACCAACAUGAGCCAUUUUUCAAGACGGGCACCAAUACCUCUAACACGAGCAGGAGCAGGGACCCUUCCAACACCGGCCACUUGGUCUCCAACAUCAGCACCAACAUGGAUCAUUUCAACUUCAUCCUGGGCUUCACCAGCAGCACCAAGGCCACCAUCAGCAGCAAUAUUUGCCAUUUCAACGGCUACUUGGGCUUCAGCAACCGCAUCAAGGCCACCAUCAGCAGCAGCACGGGGCAUUUCAAUAUGGGGAGCAGUGAUGUUCGGCCUGGAUAAAGCGAUCUUGCUGUAAUGCUAUCAGCUCAUCGGCGGGCUUAUGACGGAGGAGGGAGUCCAAACAUCCGGCGGCGGCCGAUCAUGCCUUUCCUUCCGGAUGUGACAUCACCGACAGCAGAGUGACAACGAUGUACUUCUGAAUUAAGUCUCUAAUUUUGUUUCCGGCAAGAGUAAUGAUUCCUUUUAGUUCCUGCAGCGUCUCUUCUUCGAUGUUCCCAUAAUCCAUCGUCGUUAACAAAUUUUUAUUUUUUUUUCUUCGGGGAGAAGCGGGAAAUAUUUGGGAAUCGCUCCUAUUUGAAAUAGUUUUAACGCCAUCUUCAUGUGCGCUUUAACUUUUGCCUCCAUUUUCGUUGCUGCCUUCUCCUCCUCCACGAAAACUGAAAUCAGUUUUGGAAAUUUAUUAUUUAAAUUAAUUAAUUAGUUAUGUAAUUAAUUAAUUAAUUCCUUACCACUUCCAUUGGUGCGUACUUCAAGUAUGCAAGUAUAACAUCUAGAAUGUUUUUUUGGAGUAAUGUCGCAUAUCAGAUUCGGGAAAAUUUCUGCCAGUUCAAAGACUACCACUUGUGGAUGGUAGUUGCCAAUUUUAGAUAAUCCCUUUGCAAUCAUUUUUUGGAAAUCCACAAAAUUUGCUCCCGGUAGGAAACUCCUAAAAAUUAUUCAAAUAAAAAAUGAUUAUUUGAAUAAUUUGCAAAAAAGAACUUUAGUCUUACCAUGUCAUAUAUCCUUUUACACAAAGUUUGUUUAUGUAAUGUAUUUCAAACUAUUGAUCCUUUCCCCUACAUCGCUUUCCCUUUUCAGCAACCUCAGCUUCCCCACCAGUUAAUCAAUCUAUCCAAUCUAUAUCUGACUCUGCCGAGUCAGACCCAUCACUCACCUUAUUAUCACCCAUACGUAUUCCUAUUACCCUCCUGUCAAACCUUUCGGGGUACCUUUUCCCUUCAUCCAAUUUUCCCCAAGCACCGUGCAAUUUGGAGACAUCUCCAAUUACACCGGCUACGCUACUGGUAUAUAACCCAGCAGCCACGACAUCCUCGCAGUCAGUAGCAUCAGUAGUAGCAGAGUAGUAGCAUCGACAGCAGCAGCAACAAUCGCAGAGCAGAAACCAGCAGCCACCGGAAGCAGAGUCCAGCCGACAGUCCGUUAGCCAGCCAAGCCGCCGGUCGUCGACCACUCCGUGGUCUCCUCCCCUUGCUGUUCGGUAGCAGCUACUCUCCCUCUAUAUUCUCCCUUGCUAUUCUCCCUCUCUAUUCUCCCUUACUAAUCUCCCUCUCUAUUCUCCCUUGCUAUUCUCCCUCUCUAUUCUCCCUCACUACUCUCCCUUUCCAUCCUCCCUCUCUAUUCUCCCACUCCAUUCUUCCUGUCAGUGAAACGCUUGUGUAAGUGUGUGUAUGUGUUCAGUGUCAAUAAAAGGUGAAACCCUCUGA